rnacentral:rRNA from 1 species
GAAUGGCUCAGGACGAACGCUGGCGGCGCGCCUAACACAUGCAAGUCGAACGAGCGAGAGAGAGCUUGCUUUCUCGAGCGAGUGGCGAACGGGUGAGUAACGCGUGAGGAACCUGCCUCAAAGAGGGGGACAACAGUUGGAAACGACUGCUAAUACCGCAUAAGCCCACAGGUCGGCAUCGACCAGAGGGAAAAGGAGCAAUCCGCUUUGAGAUGGCCUCGCGUCCGAUUAG